rnacentral:rRNA from 1 species
UAAGGAAUCUUCGGCAAUGGACGGAAGUCUGACCGAGCAACGCCGCGUGAGUGAAGAAGGUUUUCGGAUCGUAAAGCUCUGUUGUAAGAGAAGAACGAGUGUGAGAGUGGAAAGUUCACACUGUGACGGUAACUUACCAGAAAGGGACGGCUAACUACGUGCCAGCAGCCGCGGUAAUACGUAGGUCCCGAGCGUUAUCCGGAUUUAUUGGGCGUAAAGCGAGCGCAGGCGGUUAGAUAAGUCUGAAGUUAAAGGCUGUGGCUUAACCAUAGUACGCUUUGGAAACUGUUUAACUUGAGUGCAGAAGGGGAGAGUGGAAUUCCAUGUGUAGCGGUGAAAUGCGUAGAUAUAUGGAGGAACACCGGUGGCGAAAGCGGCUCUCUGGUCUGUAACUGACGCUGAGGCUCGAAAGCGUGGGGAGCAAACAGGAUUAGAUACCCUGGUAGUCCACGCCGUAAACGAUGAGUGCUAGGUGUUGGGUCCUUUCCGGGACUCAGUGCCGCAGCUAACGCAUUAAGCACUCCGCCUGGGGAGUACGACCGCAAGGUUG